GUCAGCCUCUGCUGAAGGAGAAAUUUACAGUUAUAAAGAAAAGUGGCAAAAAUGACCAUUAAUCUUAAAAGAAAUUCUUCAGAAGUGGCCAAAGCAUGAGAUCUGAGUGAGUUUUAACUAUCUGGAUAUAAGUUGGCUCUGAUUUAUCUCCUGUUCUAUUGAAAGAGGUCUGAAAGGAAGUGACAUAAAGAAGAAAAGUAAAAUUGGUUAAAUAGAACAUAAAUGAGAUCUAUUUGGCCCUGAGAAAGCAUCUCCACCUGCUGGUCUCCUAUUUCAGACACAGAACACUGCCCGACCUGCCACAGCCCAGAUCCUGAUUCAACUGUUUGCAGGUCUUCUCUCAGGUGCCUUUGCAGUUGGUGGAAGAUCAGAACGGAGGUGGCAGGAAGGAAGUCCAGCUGAACAAUGACAUCCAGGAAGCCUGUGUUGCUGAGUCUGAAUGAAAACUGAGGACCUCACACAGUUCAGCAAUCACCAAAGAGCUUCCUUCUAGUCAAACCUCUAAUGAUCCGGCUAAUUGAUUUGAUCCCUUUCAUUGACUGAUAGUCCACAGCUCCCUCAAUGACUAGUCUGUAAUCUCCUGAUGUUCCUGAGAACCAAGUCAUGCUGCUUUUAGUCAGAACUCCCCUGAUUGGAGACCUUAUGGAAACUCAGAUAAGCAUUCUGAACUCCUUAUUUAUUAACAUCUGUAGCUUCCUGAUUUAAAACAUGCUCCUCACGUCAGGUGCAUGGGAAAAAAAGAAAAAAAAAACCCUCUCACUCAUUUCCUCACCCACUCCAGAGUA